rnacentral:rRNA from 1 species
AGGAUGAACGCUGGCGGCGUGCUUAACACAUGCAAGUCGAACGUGAGGGUGUAGCAAUACACCUGAAAGUGGCGGACGGGUGAGUAACACGUGGGUGACCUGCCUUGUAGUGGGGGAUAACCAUGGGAAACUGUGGCUAAUACCGCAUGGUCCGGUUAGAAAGGGAUUCUAAUCGGUAAAGCUUCAUGUGCUACGAGAGGGGCCUGCGUCCGAUUAGGUAGUUGGUGGGGUAAUGGCCUACCAAGCCGAUGAUCGGUAGCUGGUCUGAGAGGACGAUCAGCCACACGGGAACUGAGAGACGGUCCCGACUCCUACGGGGGGCAGCAGUGAGGAAUAUUGGGCAAUGGGCGCAAGCCUGACCCAGCAACGCCGCGUGGAGGAUGAAGGUCCUUGGAUUGUAAACUCCUUUUUGUGGGGAAGAGAGCGGACGGUACCCCAAGAAUAAGUCACGGCUAACUACGUGCCAGCAGCCGC